AUUGACUAGUGUAGGAAUUAAGAAUGACGAAUGUGUUGACUAGGGUUUUUCCCAUUUUUGAAAAAAAAUAGAAGCGUGGCUCCGAUGAAGGUUCAACCAAUUGCAAUUGACAUCGAUUCCAAGAAGGUGAAGGACACUGGCGGAAAUAGCAGCGGUGGUGGUGGUUCGAAACGAGUCAGUGCUAAAGUCGCGCUUGAGAAGGUUGUUCGUCUUCGAUUGGCAGUUACCGAAAAACAACCACACAAAUGUUGCAGAAUUUGAAUCGAGCUAGGUCUGCUUGGUGAAAACGGUGCAGAAUUUCAUGGAGGAGCAGCCACUGGCGCGAUGCUCGUCAUGGAAGAGGAGACUCUUCUGGUGAGGGUUGUCGCGCGCGGUGAUGAGGAUGGUGGUGGCUGUCACGUGCACACCGACCUGGUAUGGUAGAGGGUCGUGAUUGUGCGCAAAGGAGGGGUGGCGGUGCAAGGAUUAAGAAGAUGAAUCGGCUUGGGUAGUGGUGGAAGGAUGAAGAAGAUGAAUGGGUUGAGGCGGUGGGGCCAGGGGUGGAUUGGGGGCUGGAUUGUGAAGGAGGAGGAGGAGAGGAGGGAGGCAGUGGCGGGGAUGCUGUUGGCAGUGAUCGUCACCGUGAAGAGCAACGGUUGCAUGGGAGAGUAGAGGGAGAAGAAGAUUGUUAGGGAGAAGGAAAGGAGGGAGAAUGAUGUGGCAUUGAUGUGUAAGUGAUUAGGUUUGAUGACGUGAUACUCUGUCGGUCACGCCGCCAUCACGUACUAAAAUGAGAUUAAGGACAUGUGUGAAUUUUAGGUAGUAGAUAUGAAAAAUGUAUUUGAGCCUUUUUUAUUUUAUAAUUAUUAUAUUUCUUUGGUAAAAUUUUAAUUUUCCUCAGUUUUGAAAUCCCUGGAACUCGAUUGCCAAAAUCUCGGUUGUUUGAACAGCGAAGGAGACGAUUCAUCUUCCCCAAGCGGCUUAGCUGGUUGUUGAAGGAGACAGUUCAUCUUUCUUGAGUGGACCCGCUUAGCUGAUUGGGGAAAAUUUGAAGUUAAUGUGUUGCACACAGGCAUCCUGAAAGAGGAAUCAUUUUCCAUCUGGGGUCCCAAAUGAUAUUUGUUCCCCAUCAAUUAGAACCCUAAAAUAUGUCAAUUUCCAUCGUGGUCUGGUUUAGGUUUCCCAUUUUAUAAUUUGACAGUGUUGAAUGAUUAUAAGGAAUGGUGGUAGUAUUCUGAAUCUUGUUUAGAAUUGGGGGUUUUAGUCGAAGUUAGAAGGAAAUUGUUGUAGCAGCAGCAAAAGGUCACGAUUGAGAAUCAUUUGGUUGGAUAAGCAUGCAAGUUUGUGAAAAUGGUGGCCUACUAAAUUCCUAUGGCAUCCGUCGUGAACGGUAUUGUGAAAAUUCGAUUGAGGUAUUCUGUGCUCCUUCAUCACCAUCCUAUGGUGUAUUUUGUCAUUUGUUGUCAAUAUCGGUUUAAAAUCACCCACAUCCCAGACCUUAUUAAUGAAUGUGUACACAUUGAAGUGAUACUCUAGUGAAUAGUCCCGGUUAAAAGCAGACAAAAAUUUGGGAGCAGAAUCUACAGGCACGGUUUAUUUGGGAGCAGAAUCCUACAUGGUUGCCACACAUGGGAAAGGCCUUGUAAGAAUUUUGUUGGAGUUUUGGUUUUCCUAGUCCUGGACGUCUUCUUAGUAUAAGCAUCGGGGGAAGCUUUGGGAGUUACAUUGGUGUAGUGCAUAUCAUGGUGUGAAUAUCUGGAUCAAAAUGUUGGCUCCUCAGUGGACUCUGCAUACUAAACCGUGUAGUCAACGUGUUCAAGUCAUUCAUAAUUAUGUCCACCGGUGACUGCAAAUGCAAAACCUGCUUCCUCAAAUCAUCCUGGGACAUCAGAUACAUGUUUUUCAUCAGUCUGAUAUAAUUUUUAGGGUCUGAAAUAAAUUAUAUUGCAUAUGUUUUUGAAACACAUUACCUGAUUUUCUUCUUUUCCUUCAUCUUGUUUUGGAGAUUUGACAAACUUCUCUUUUGCCUUCGGUGAGGGAAUGCUUUCCACAAAGCUAUGACUUGUUUUAAAAAAUAAGUCAGUAAAUAUCAUGAAUCUUGUUGUAAUGAAAUAUAAUUUAAACAAUAUCAAAUUGUCAUUAAUUAA